AUUUGCUUGCAAUGGUACUGUGAUUGAACACCCUGAAUAUGGAGAAGUGAUUCAGCUGCAAGGUGACCAGCGCAAGAACAUAUGUCAAUUCCUCAUUGAGAUUGGUCUGGCUAAAGACGACCAGCUGAAGGUCCAUGGGUUUUAAGUGCCUGUGGGUCACUAAGUAAGAGGACUGCCUUGCAAUGAAUAAAAUCCCCUUCUGUCCCUUGUCAUAAGUUUAAAACCAGCUGGAUUGUGUAAUGUAACCAUCUCAAGUCCGCUGUUUCAGUCUGGACUGGUAGUGUAACUCAGCGAUGUAAUAAACUGGCAAGAGCCAUGCUGUCCUGUC